CUGAUGUCUGUCCUCUUAGACCGUAUAUUUUCAGGGGCCAGCGGGCUAGUGAUGAUGCCUGUGUAAGUCACCACUGUAUCCCCAUCACCUAACACAGCUGUGGUUCAUAAUAAAUCCUCAACUGAAACACACUGAAUAAAUGUGCUGAAAGAGGAGCAAGAGAGAUAGGAGGAGAACCAAAAUUGUACAGUGCAGUCAGGGCAGAUUUCUCAAGCAGAACAGGGCACUGGUACUGUCCAGGGCUGCAGCUGAACAUGGCAGACUGAAGGCAAAGGAAAAUGAAGAAUCCAAGGGCCUAGAUUGUCAUGGCUUUAGUAACCCAAUUUAAGUACAGUGAUGAGGGAGAGAGACAAGGUGGUGAGGCCUGACAGCGAGGGAUGAAAUAGAGCGUGGGGAGGCGAGAAACAGAAUCGGCUAGUGUAGACUACUCUCCAGGGAGACAAAAUUAAGACGAGAGGGGGAAUGGAGGCUGGAAUUCUUAGCAGAGUCGCAAGAAGGAAUCUGGGGGACAUGGAAACAACCUAGAUGUCCAUCAACAGAUGAAUGGAUAAAGAAGUUGUGGUAGAUACAAAGGAUGGACUAUACUCAGCAUAAAAUGGAAUAUACUCAGCAUAAAAAGGAAUGCAUCUGAGUCAGUGCUAAUGAGGUGGAAGAAGAUAUAGCCUAUUACACAUGGUGAAGUUGCUAGUGGUCAUUAGAGGUGCCACAGAGAGAACACAAGGGUAAGGUCUCUGGAACAAGAGGACCCUGGGUUUGUGUCACCACCAGCACCUGUGACUCUGGGAACAGUUCCUCUCUGAGCCGCAGCUUGUUCAUCUUUUG
ensembl:lncRNA